rnacentral:rRNA from 1 species
UACAGAGGUGGCAAGCGUUGUUCGGAAUUACUGGGCGUAAAGGGCGCGUAGGCGGCCUUAUAAGUCUCGUGUGAAAGCCCUCGGCUUAACUGAGGAUCUGCACGGGAUACUGUAAGGCUCGAGUUCGGGAGAGGAAAGCGGAAUUCCGGGUGUAGCGGUGAAAUGCGUAGAUAUCCGGAGGAACACCAGUGGCGAAGGCGGCUUUCUGGACCGACACUGACGCUGAGGCGCGAAAGCUAGGGGAGCAAACGGG